rnacentral:rRNA from 1 species
GACGAACGCUGGCGGCGUGCUUAACACAUGCAAGUCGAACGGAAAGGCCCUGCCUUUGUGGGGUGCUCGAGUGGCGAACGGGUGAGUAACACGUGAGUAACCUGCCCUUGACUUUGGGAUAACUUCAGGAAACUGGGGCUAAUACCGGAUAGGAGCUCCUGCUGCAUGGUGGGGGUUGGAAAGUUUCGGCGGUUGGGGAUGGACUCGCGGCUUAUCAGCGUGUUGGUGGGGUAGUGGCUUACCAAGGCUUUGACGGGUAGCCGGCCUGAGAGGGUGACCGGCCACAUUGGGACUGAGAUACGGCCCAGACUCCUACGGGAGGCAGCAGUGGGGAAUAUUGCACAAUGGGCGGAAGCCUGAUGCAGCAACGCCGCGUGCGGGAUGACGGCCUUCGGGUUGUAAACCGCUUUCGCCUGUGACGAAGCGUGAGUGACGGUAAUGGGUAAAGAAGCACCGGCUAACUACGUG